rnacentral:rRNA from 1 species
UACGUAGGUGACCAGCGUUGUCCGGAUUUACUGGGCGUAAAGAGCGCGCAGGCGGUCGUUCAAGUCGAGUGUGAAAGCCCCCGGCUCAACUGGGGAGGGUCACUCGAUACUGAUCGACUUGAAGGCAGGAGAGGGAAGCGGAAUUCCCGGUGUAGUGGUGAAAUUCGUAGAUAUUCGGAAGAACACCAGUGGCGAAGGCGGCUCACUGGACUGGUAUUGACGCUGAGGUGCGAAAGCGUGGGGAGCAAACAGG